rnacentral:rRNA from 1 species
GACGAACGCUGGCGGCGUGCUUAACACAUGCAAGUCGAACGUGAUUUUUAAGGAAAGCCCUUCGGGGAAGGAAUUAAAAUGAAAGUGGCGAACGGGUGAGUAACACGUGAGCAACCUACCUUACACAGGGGGAUAGCCGUUGGAAACGACGAUUAAUACCGCAUGAGACCACAGAAUCGCAUGAUAUAGGGGUCAAAGAUUUAUCGGUGUAAGAAGGGCUCGUGUCUGAUUAGCUAGUUGGAAGGGUAAAGGCCUACCAAGGCGACGAUCAGUAGCCGGUCUGAGAGGAUGAACGGCCACAUUGGAACUGAGACACGGUCCAAACUCCUACGGGAGGCAGCAGUGGGGAAUAUUGCACAAUGGGGGGAACCCUGAUGCAGCGACGCCGCGUGAGCGAAGAAGGUUUUCGAAUCGUAAAGCUCUGUCCUAUGAGAAGAUAAUGACGGUAUCAUAGGAGGAAGCCCCGGCUAAAUACGUGCCAGCAGCCGCGGUAAUACGUAUGGGGCGAGCGUUGUCCGGAAUUAUUGGGCGUAAAGGGUACGUAGGCGGCCUAUUAAGUCAGGUGUGAAAGCGUGAGGCUUAACCUCAUUAAGCACUUGAAACUGGAAGGCUUGAGUGAAGGAGAGGAAAGUGGAAUUCCUAGUGUAGCGGUGAAAUGCGUAGAUAUUAGGAGGAAUACCGGUGGCGAAGGCGACUUUCUGGACUUUUACUGACGCUCAGGUACGAAAGCGUGGGGAGCAAACAGG